rnacentral:rRNA from 1 species
CCUACGGGAGGCAGCAGUGAGGAAUAUUGGUCAAUGGGCGCGAGCCUGAACCAGCCAAGUCGCGUGAGGGAAGACGGCCCUAUGGAUUGUAAACUUCUUUUGUCUGGGAGUAAAACAUGCCACGCGUGGCGUUCUGUGUGUACCCGAAGAAUAAGCAUCGGCUAACUCCGUGCCAGCAGCCGCGGUAAUACGGAGGAUGCGAGCGUUAUCCGGAUUUAUUGGGUUUAAAGGGUGCGUAGGCGGAAGAUCAAGUCAGUGGUAAAAUUUAGAGGCUCAACCUCUUCGAGCCGUUGAAACUGGUUGUCUUGAGUAAAGGAGAGGUGUGCGGAAUGCGUGGUGUAGCGGUGAAAUGCAUAGAUAUCACGCAGAACUCCGAUUGCGAAGGCAGCAUACCGGCGCUCAACUGACACUCAGGCACGAAAGUGUGGGUAUCGAACAGGAUUAGAUACCUUGGUAGUC